rnacentral:rRNA from 1 species
GGGUCAGUAGGUUGGUCGUGCCACCGGUACGUACUGGUCUCACUGAUUCCUCCUUCCUGAAGAACCGUAAUGCCAUUAAUUUGGUGUUACGGGGAAACAGGACUGUUACUUUGAAAAAAUUAGAGUGUUUAAAGCAAGCUAACGCUUGAAUACAUUAGCAUGGAAUAAUGAAAUAGGGCGAUCGAUCCUAUUUUGUUGGUUUCUAGGAUUGACGUA